UACGUAGGGUGCGAGCGUUGUCCGGAAUUAUUGGGCGUAAAGAGCUCGUAGGCGGUUUGUCGCGUCUGCUGUGAAAACCGGAGGCUCAACCUCCGGCCUGCAGUGGGUACGGGCAGACUAGAGUGCGGUAGGGGAGAUUGGAAUUCCUGGUGUAGCGGUGGAAUGCGCAGAUAUCAGGAGGAACACCGAUGGCGAAGGCAGAUCUCUGGGCCGUAACUGACGCUGAGGGGCGAAAGCAUGGGGAGCGAACAGG
rnacentral:rRNA from 1 species